rnacentral:ncRNA from 2 species
GCUGACCGGCCCUGUAGAUGUGACGCGCCCCGCGGGGGAAGUCCGGUGAGAGUCCGGCGCUGACCCGCAACGGUAAGCGGAAGCUUUCCUUCCGCAAGCCCGAUCGCCCGCGGCGGCGCCGGAUCCUGA